CCGGAGCAACAAGCCCCCUCCACGGUCAGGCCUUCUGAGUUGGGGGACCCCCUUCUUCCAGCCUGAGCUGUGGGUUGUGGGUCCCCGCGAAGCCCGUGGGAAUGGGGGAGGGUCCGCACAGGGCAUUAUUUGAUAGGGUUUGAACUGCUAUCUUGCUCCCAAAUUAUCUCCGUACAGCCUAUCACAGUUGCACCUUAACGCUUCCAGUCCUUUGGGUCUUAGAGGCGUUGAAGGUUCCCAGAGUCUCCUAGGAAGCUGCCGACACCCCUGGAGAGGGAACCCCCCUAAACUGUUAGAAGCACACGCCCACCCUGGGGAUACAUUGGCCGCCCGUGCGUGGAGCUGGGCCUGGAGCACAAGACCCAGAAUGGAGAACAGAGGCCAAAGAAGGGGAAUGACUUGUACAAAGAGCAUUGCCCUCAGGCUCACUGCCCUCAAGGAUCUGAGGACAACUUCCAAAUGAAGAAGAAGUGGCAUCUUUCUACCAAGAAGAAAACCCUUCUCAGAGGCCCCCAGCAGGCUUCCUCUUGUGUUUCACUGGCCAGGAACAUAUGAACCAUCAGUGAGAAAACAGGACCACCACGACUAGCUUGGAAUCGCCUUAAUCCUCCUUUGGUGCUGGGCGUGACUCCCUUGAAGCACUGAGCCUCUGGAAAGUGUGAAGGAAAAGCUGGGCUGAUCUAACAAGAUAACUCACAGGUCUAGGAAUGUGAAGGAGAGGCUGGGCUGGGCUAACAAGAUAACUCACAAAUCUAAGUAUUGGAAUACUGAUCUGAAUUCUGCUGGACUAACUUGUAAAUCUAAGUUAAUUAGUGUUGGUUUGCUGUUCAUGUUUUUUGCUAGCCAGCUGGGUUUUCAAAGAUACAUAUCUGGCUUUGGAAUAUUGGUUUGCUGCCUCCCCACCUCCACUUCUGUGAUGAUAAUGCUGCUAAAGCUGUUCCAUGCCUAUUGGCCUAAUACCCCAAGCUUGUAGUUUACCCUAUAAAACCUCAUGCGCACGUCUUGGAGGUGCUCAGAGCUUCAGAGCAGAAGCCCCUCUGAGCCCGCCGGCAUAAUACAUCUGAGUACUCCAACCCUCCGAGUGGUGCUUGUUUCUUGACUGGCCUGUCGUUUCCAUAACACUAGCAUUUCUAUUAGAGGACAGAGGAAGCUUGCCCCUCAGUGCCCCAAAGAAGAAAGUAAAGUCCUAACUAAAUGUCAUCCCUGUCAUUUACCUUGGGAUAAAAGAGGAGGUGGCCGCUUCAAAGGGGGUGAAGCAGGGAGCUGGUGCAGCCCACAGACUAUAGUGAGCAAGAAUCUUUCUCUCUGCACCUCCUGUUAUGGGUUGAAUUGUGCCCCACGCCAAAAAAUAUGUUGAAGUCCUAACUCCCCAUAAUGUGGGGUUAUACCUCAGAAUGUGACCUUAUUUAGAAAUAGGAUCUUUACAGAAGUAAUCAAGUUAGAAUGAUGACGUCACUAAAAGAAUACAUAGGCAACAAGCUCCUUGACAUUGAUCUUGGCAAUGAUUUUUUGUGAUUGACACCAACGGCAAAGGCAACAAAAGCAAAAAUAAACAAGGAGGGCUACAUCAAACUACAAAGCUUCUGCAUAGCCAAGGACACAUGAGCAAAAUGAAAAGGCAACCUACCAAAUGGGAGAAAAUAAUUGCAAUUCAUAAAUCUAUAAGGGGUUAAUAUCCAAAAUAUAUAAAAAAUGCACACAACUCAAUAGUGAAAAAAAAAAAAAAGAUAGAGAGAAAGAGAGGAUCUAUUUUUCCAAAUAAAACAUACAGCUGGCCAACAGGCACAUGAAAAGAUACUCAGCAUCACUUACUGUCAGGGAAAUGCAAAUGAAAACCACAGUGAAGUCACUUCACAGCUGUUAUCAAAAAGACAAGAAAUACCAAGUGUUGGUGAGGAUGUGGAACAAAGGGAAUCCUUGUGCACUGUUGAUGGGGAUGUAAAUUGGUGCAGCCACUAUGGAAAACAUUAUGGAGGUUCCUCAAAAAAAUAAAUAGAACCACCACACGAUACAGCAACUCCACUUAUCCACAGGAAAUGAAAAUACUAACUUGAAAAGAUGUAAGCUCCCUCUGUGUUCGUUGAAGUCUUAUUUACAAUAGCCAAGAUAUGGAAACAAUCUAAAUGUCCAUUGAUGGAUGAACUGAUAAAAUGUGGUGUAUAUAUACAAUGGAAUAUGAUUUGGCCAUAAAAAGAAUGAAACAUUGCCAUGGAUGGAACUUGAUGGCAUUAUGCUAAGUGAAUUAAGUCAAACAGAGAAAGACAAAUGCCACAUGACCUUGCUUACCUGUGGAAUUUUAAAACAAACAACUAAAUAAGACUCAUAGAUACAGAGAGCAUUUUGGUGAUUGCCAGAUGUAGGGGUUGGGGAGAGGGUAAAAUGAAUGAAGGUCGUUCAAAUGUACAGACUUCCAGUUAUAAAUGAAAUAAGUCAAGUGAAAUACCUCAGUAUAUUUCUACAAAUAUUAUACACCCAAAACUACAAAACACUGCUGAAAUAAAUCAAAGAAGAUCUUUUUAAAAAUGGAGACACAUACUGUGUUCAAGACUGAACAUAGUAAAGGUGUCAGUUUUCUUCAAACAGAUCCAUAGAUGAUUGCAUUUCAAAUCAGAAUCCCAGCAAGACUUUUAAUAAAUAGACACAAGCUGAUUCUAAGAUAUAUAUGGAGAAAGGCAAAGGAACUAAAAUGGCAGAAACAAUAUUGUGAAGAAAAAUAAAGUUGGUGGCGUCACAUUCCCCAGUUUUCUAGUAAUCCAGACGGUGUGAUAUUGGCAAGGGGACAGAUACAUAGAUCAAUGGAAUAGAAUGGAGAAUUCAGAAAUAGACCCACAUAAAUAUGGCCAAUUAAGUUUUGGCAAAAGUACAAAGGUAAUUCAUUGGUAUUGGACCAAUUUUUCAACAAAUGGUGUUAACACAAUUGGUCAUUUGUAUGUUCAUGUCUGUUUUUGUAAACAAAACAAAAAAACCUCACCCUAAGCCUCACACCCUAUACAAAAAAUUAACUCAACUUGAGUGAUAAUGAUGUGUCAUAAGUUCAUCAGUUCGAAGAAAUGUACCACUCUGGUGGGGUAUUUUGAUAAUGUUGGCGCCUAUGCAUGUGUGGGGGCAGGUAGUCUGUAGAAAAAUCUCUAUCUUCUGCUUAAUUUUGCUGUGACCCUAAAACUGCUUUUUUUAAAGUCUGUUGUUUUUUUUUUUUAAAGAAAAAAAAAGCCCUCAAAAUGACUGUAGAUCUAAAUGCAAAAUAUACAACUCUUAAAAGAGAAGAAACAAGGGAAAAUCUUUGUGACCUAUGGUUAGGGAAGCUGUUCUUAGACAUGACACCAAAAGCAUUAUCCAUAAAAAGAAAAAAAAGAUAAAAAUCAAAAUUUAAAACUUUGCUCUGCCAAAGACACUGUUAAAAAAAAUAAGAAGGUAAGCCACAGACUGGAAGAAAAUAUUUGCAAAUGACUUGCAAGAUUUUUAUCUUGUAUCCAAAAUACAUAAGGAACUCUUAAAACUAAACAGUAAGAAAACAAAUAAUUUAAAAGUGGGAAAGAGACUUGAAUAGUCACUCCACCAAAGAAGAUACGCAGAUGGCAAAUAAGUAAGUGAAAAAAUGUUUGACCUCUUAGUCAUUAGAGAAAUGCAAAUUAAAACCAUGAUGAGAUAUAUACAUCUAUCUAAAUGGCUAAAAUAAAGAUUGUUGACAAUACCAACUUCUGGCAAUGAUGCAGAGCAACUGAAAUUCUCAUGCAUUGCUAGUGGAAAUACAAAAUGGUACAGCAACGCUUGAAAAACAGUUUGACAGUUUCUUAUGAAAUUAAACAUACAUUCACCAUAUGACCCAACAGUCCCACUCCAAGGUAUUUACCCUAGAGAAAUGAAAUCUUAAGCUCACAGAAAAAUUGGUAAUGAGUGUUUAUGGAAACCCCAGUUCAAAGUCAUCAUAAGGGGUGGGUAUAGCUCAGUAGUGGAGUGCUGUGCUUAGCAUGCACAAAGUCCUGGGUUCAACCCCCAGUACCUCCAUUAAAAACAAACAAACAAACAAAAAUGAAGUCAUCAUAAACUGGAAACAACUCAAUAUCCAUCAAAAGGAGUGUAUAUUAAAACACUGUGAUACAUCCGUUCAAUGAAAUGUUACCCAACAAUAAAAAUGAACCGAACUACAGAUACACGCAGCAAAAUGGAUGCAUCUUAAAAAUCUUAUGCCAAAUGGAAUACGCCAGACAUCUAAAAUUACAUACUGUAUGAUUCCAUUUACAUGACAUUCUCAAAAGGACAAAAUCACAGGAAUGGGUUAUAGAUCAGUGGUUGCCAGGGGUUAGAAGGGUGUGACUACAACAGGAGAGCAGGAGGGAGUUGUUUGGAAGUGGUGGA